UGUACGGAGUUUGAACGGCGGGCUUGAGGCCCACGACCGGGGAAGAACUAAGGGAAGGACUUGAACUUUAUUUCGCCUUCCAUCACAGUGUGGAAUGGGUAGAAGUCACUGUGGUGGAUGUUUAUGUUAAAAUGUGUUUUUGAGUG